GAUGAACGCUAGCUACAGGCUUAACACAUGCAAGUCGAGGGGGAACGGCAUUGAGUGCUUGCACUCUUUGGACGUCGACCGGCGCACGGGUGAGUAACGCGUAUCCAACCUUCCCAUUACUGUGGGAUAACCUGCCGAAAGGCAGACUAAUACCGCAUAGUCUUCGAUGACGGCAUCAGAUUUGAAGUAAAGAUUUAUCGGUAAUGGAUGGGGAUGCGUCUGAUUAGCUUGUUGGCGGGGUAACGGCCCACCAAGGCUACGAUCAGUAGGGGUUCUGAGAGGAAGGUCCCCCACAUUGGAACUGAGACACGGUCCAAACUCCUACGGGAGGCAGCAGUGAGGAAUAUUGGUCAAUGGACGGAAGUCUGAACCAGCCAAGUAGCGUGCAGGAUGACGGCCCUAUGGGUUGUAAACUGCUUUUGUAUGGGGAUAAAGUUAGGGACGUGUCCCUAUUUGCAGGUACCAUACGAAUAAGGACCGGCUAAUUCCGUGCCAGCAGCCGCGGUAAUACGGAAGGUCCAGGCGUUAUCCGGAUUUAUUGGGUUUAAAGGGAGCGUAGGCUGGAGAUUAAGUGUGUUGUGAAAUGUAGACGCUCAACGUCUGAAUUGCAGCGCAUACUGGUUUCCUUGAGUACGCACAACGUUGGCGGAAUUCGUCGUGUAGCGGUGAAAUGCUUAGAUAUGACGAAGAACUCCGAUUGCGAAGGCAGCUGACGGGAGCGCAACUGACGCUUAAGCUCGAAGGUGCGGGUAUCAAACAGG
rnacentral:rRNA from 1 species